rnacentral:rRNA from 1 species
AAUCAACGCUGGCGGCGUGCCUAACACAUGCAAGUCGAGCGAAUGACGAGGAGCUUGCUCCUCUGAUUUAGCGGCGGACGGGUGAGUAACACGUGGGUAACCUGCCUGUAAGACGGGGAUAACUCCGGGAAACCGGAGCUAAUACCGGAUGAUAACGAGAAGCGCCUGCUUCUUUUUUGAAAGUCGGUUUCGGCUGACGCUUACAGAUGGGCCCGCGGCGCAUUAGCUAGUUGGUGAGGUAACGGCUCACCAAGGCGACGAUGCGUAGCCGACCUGAGAGGGUGAUCGGCCACACUGGGACUGAGACACGGCCCAGACUCCUACGGGAGGCAGCAGUAGGGAAUCUUCGGCAAUGGACGAAAGUCUGACCGAGCAACGCCGCGUGAGCGAUGAAGGCCUUCGGGUCGUAAAGCUCUGUUGUCAGAGAAGAACAAGUACCGGAGUAACUGCCGGUACCUUGACGGUACCUGACCAGAAAGCCACGGCUAACUACGUGCCAGCAGCCGCCGUAAUAC